UGCUUGGGAAUAUGCCUUUACGUGGGGGACAACAGUUGGAAACGACUGCUAAUACCGCAUAAUGUCUUCGGACCAAAGGAGGGGAUGCUUCGGCACCUUUCGCGUAAAGAUUAGCCCAAGUGGGAUUAGCUAGUUGGUAAGGUAAUGGCUUACCAAGGCGACGAUCCCUAGCUGGUUUGAGAGGAUGAUCAGCCACACUGGGACUGAGACACGGCCCAGACUCCUACGGGAGGCAGCAGUGGGGAAUAUUGCACAAUGGGCGAAAGCCUGAUGCAGCCAUGCCGCGUGUGUGAAGAAGGC
rnacentral:rRNA from 1 species